UAGUAUUCAAUUGUCAGAGGUGAAAUNCUUNGGAUUUAUUGAAGACUAACUACUGCGAAAGCAUUUGCCAAGGAUGUUUUCAUUAAUCAAGAACGAAAGUUAGGGGAUCGAAGACGAUCAGAUACCGUCGUAGUCUUAACCAUAAACUAUGCCGACUAGGGAUCGGAUGAUGUUAAUUUUUUAAUGACUCA
rnacentral:rRNA from 1 species